GCCCGGGGCGAGGAAGGAGAUAUCGGAGCCCAGCCGGGUGCAGAAGCCGCUGUCCUGGCAGUUACCGCUCUCCUGUCUGUCGGUCGUGGCACGCCCCGUUUCUUUCUGCCUUCUCCCGCCGUCUGUGUUUGCCCACGGUGUCCUGCCGCCCCCGUGAAGCACCACCCGUGUAUCUCGCACUCUGGUUAUUCUAACUCCCAACAAAAUGUGGUUAGGAACUGCAGCCAUGAUGUCAACGCCUGGUUCACCUUGGUCGUUUCACGCAGGGCUGUGCUGCCAAUGGCGCAGUUGGCGGGACCACCAGGAAGGCAAACAAUUAAAAAUAAGUGCUGUAAGCAGUUGCAAGACCUGUGACCACAGCAGCAGGAGGGAGGACUGCACCAUGUCCACAAGAAGCUUUUCAGCAGUUUGGAAAGCAUCUGCAGGGCUCCUGGAGGUAGGUGGAGUAUCUCAGUUUGGAAAAGUCCUUCUCUACAGAAUGAGUAAUGUGGUGUAAUUCCUGGUGGACAAACAAGGACUUGAGCACUAGAAAUGCAUUUACCUUUUCUCCUAUCUUGCAGGUUCCUGUGGGUACAGGAGGAGGAGUCGGGGGGGAAGGCUUGAGGAAUGGGAUCCCACUUAAAAAAACACUUCACCUCCAUCCAUUUUUAAGAGUAUCAUUUCUUUACAGUGGUACAACCCCUAAGAGUAUGUUACCUGGAACCUCUGUCAGCUGCUGGUUUGGCUUUGUACCCAUUUGACUUUACUGGAAUCUUUUUCUGCCUCUUUAGAUCUCUAUAGUUUUGGAAAGGCUUCUCCAUUCAGUCCGAUCAUCAUAUCUGGGAGGAGGCUGUACCAUUAGGUCCAUGAACAAGCAGUGAUUUGGCAUCUAAGGCUGGCCUCCCUGGCUGUUUACAAAUGCUCGUGCUCAGAAUCCUUGCUCAGCCGCCAACUAGGGAGACAACUCACGUCCACAUAUAGUAUGGACAGCUUGUUAUCAACACAAAGUGAAUCACUCUGUACGUCUGGGCCUAUUGUGCCACACUACUUGCUGAUGUAAACGUAACCGAAGUCUAGAAUGAUUCCAUACACUGGACUUGAUUGAUCUCAUCUGCAGAGUCCAUUGCACUAGAAACUCUUAGUAUGAGACAACGAGGUAGACCCUGUGCAAAACAGAAGUAUUGUUUAUGCCCUUUUAUUAGCAAAGAGCAGUACAGCAAUAACAUAUAAUUCCAAAUUUAUAAAAUACAAUAAAACUCCAAAUGACCAAGUACA
rnacentral:lncRNA from 1 species